ensembl:lncRNA
ACACACACACACACAGCCAGCUGACUCAGGCAGACUGAGGGGCUGGGGCUGGUGGUUGUGUUGGUGCCUGGGGCCCUGGCGGGUUUGUUUGUGGUUUGUUUGCCGGGGCGGUGGGGGGUGAGAGGUUUACCCACAGCGCUCUCCCUGGCACCAGCCUGUCCCGGAGGAGAAAAAACAGCCGUUGUUCCGAGACGGAUGCUGCUUCUUUGGGGAUGUGGCCAGGACAGAUAUAGGUGUAAAAUGGCAGCUGGUGGAGGUGGACAAAAGAAAGUGAUCUGUGAGCACUCGAGUAACAAAGUAUCACUCGCUACGGCUUUUGUGCAGACUCUCACAAUGGCCUCUGUGAUAUGGAUCCCUCUCAGACGAGCAAAGUGGCCACCUAUUGUGAGAGGCGAGCACGCAGGACCCGAGACGAGCCUCUCUCCUCACUGCAGCUACAGUAAUUAUGAUGAUAAUGCUUUUUUUUUUUUCAGGAUUUCAGCAAGGCUUCUCACUUUACUCAAAGGGUUUGGGAUUGGGCUGGAUUUAGGUCGACACGCUGGGAGGUGUUGAGAUUUUAGACAAGUUUCAAAAAUAAAAGCAAAAAAAAUGUUUGCUUUAUACUGAUUUUUUUAUCGCAUGAUGCUUUUUCAUAAAACUGAAUUUUGUACAGUGGUGAUGAUGAGUUUGCAUGUGGUAAUGUACUCUAAUUGAUUUAUAAAUAAUAAUAUUUGAGCUUUUAAAUGGAGCAAAGCCUA